UCCAGACCCAGUCUAAGGUCCCUACUCCUUAUUGUGCUGCCCCACAUGGAGUUCCACCGCUCCCUACUAGUCCUCCUCGAGCUUUUUGUGCUGGUGAUACUUAUGCUCAGUCACCUUAGGGAGACAUCCCCAAAGCGGAGUUCCGUCAGUCAGUUCAUAUUCUUACUCAGUUGGUGGCAUCACAGUCUCAUCAGUCUGACCAUGUUGGUUUUAUUGCUCAUUCAUCUGAGGUCACUCGGGUUGGCC
rnacentral:lncRNA from 1 species